CUUUCUAUAACAUUAUUUCCAUUGUUUUCACAUUUAGGUCCAGCAACUGUCUGAGCUGGUGGAUAAUCUGUCAGAGACUGCGUGAACAACGUUAUGAACAGAAUGAUGUCUAAUUGUCUUAUGGCAAAGUUCAAUAUGAGGGGUGGUGGACAUCUGGAAAAGAAGUCUUUUAAAAGCACACCUUUGUAUUAUGUUAUUCAAGAUAGAAACAUUCUUCUCUUCCUUCAGAUGCUGUGAAGAGGUGGAGCCCAAAAGCCACAGACUCGUAAAUAGAUGCAGCUAUGGCAGAUCCACCUCAAGAACGGUCCAGGAAGAGCUGGGGGUGGUGGAUACAAAAGCCAAACAGCUGUAAUGUGUUAAAGAGAGAGUUCACCAAAAAAUGAAAAUUGUUAUAAUUUUCUUAUCCACAUGUUUCAAACCUGUAUACCUUUAUAUUUUCUGCUGAACACAAAGAUUGAAGAAUAUUUGUAACUUCA